rnacentral:rRNA from 1 species
UACGGAGGGUGCAAGCGUUGUUCGGAAUCACUGGGCGUAAAGCGCGUGUAGGCGGCUUCAUAAGUCAGGUGUGAAAGCCCGGGGCUCAACCCCGGAAUUGCGCUGGAAACUGUGAGGCUAGAGUACCGGAGAGGAGAGUGGAAUUCCUGGUGUAGCGGUGAAAUGCGUAGAUAUCAGGAGGAACACCGGUGGCGAAGGCGGCUCUCUGGACG